CUGUGGACUAGUCCAGGAUGGCAAUUUUUAUGCUGUUUCUCCCUGCUAAGCUUGGAAUCAGCCACAGGCUUGUCUCGUAAGCCACUGGCAAUGAUAACAUUUCUCAGAUGUGUUAGCUGUUGGUCUCCUCCCCUGCAAGAAACCAAGCAAUACCCCACAAGCAUUUCUUUUAAUCCUCUUAGCAGUUGUGCAUUAUUUCAUAUGCUCCUGGCAAAAGUAGUUGACUUUUCUGUCCCUUCCUCCCCUAUCCCCUGAAGACACUGGAAGAGGUGAGGAGGAAAUAAGUAAUUAAUGCUGUGUAUCAGUGGUAAGAGGGGCUGUAUGUUUUUCUGCAGUAGGUAAGCAGCAGCAAGGACAUCUCAGAGCUAGAAAAUUAAGGAGGAACAGGAUCUAGCUUUGAGUGUGGAAAAUGCAAAUGGCAGGCCCUGUACACCAACAGCAUCACACCCUGACUGGGGCAUUAAGGCAGAUUUCUGUGGCAGUUUUUCAAGGUAAGCAAUUGCUGUGUUUUUCUCACCAGGAUCAUGGUUAGGACUCCAGCAAGGCUAUGAGGAGGUUAUAAAAGGUGUAUAGUUUUAAUUACAAAUCCACAACCAGGGGAGACAAAUGGACAUUUAAAGAUGACCAAGAACUGGCAUAAAAACUGAAGGAAGUGCUUAUGCAGCAGCACCACCCACAUUCUUCUUGUCACCACGAGUGCAUUGCUUGGCAAGUUGACAUGUACAUGUGCCUGUUCUGGCUUAGAGCACCACCAGGUUGUUUCAUCACAGUUUGUUCUCCCGGGUUUUGCAAACCGUCUGCUGACACUGUCCUGUUGCCUACUCUGUGCUGGGAGAAGUUACUUCAGCUGGUUGUAUCUAAGCAGACUUCUGGUUCUGCGUAGUCUCUUCAUUUUAGUUAAGACACACUGCUGCAGAGACAGCAUUGUAAGGCACCCUGUUCUGUCUCCUCUUCCACAUAUAACUUAACUUCUGCAAGAGGCAAUGACUGAAAUGAUGCUGUGAUAGUCCCUUCUUACUGAAAGCUUCUCUUAUAAGGUAUUCAAGACAAUUCAGUAGUCUCAAUAUGGAUCAGCUCAGAUCCCAUUAGUUAAGCAUGAUACCGGGGGACACUGUCUUCGUACCUGGAACGCCGGAAGAACCCGCACUACAGCAGAGAAGGAAAAGAACAGAUUAGAUUAAAGUUGCUGGCAAAGUACUAUGAUUACAGAGAUAAGUUCUGCACAGUAGAACAACUGCUCCGCUGUGGUUGGCUCUUGGGGCACCAGACACAAAAGUCAUCUCAUCCUGGGAGACAAUUCCUUU